rnacentral:rRNA from 2 species
UACGAAGGGGACUAGCGUUGUUCGGAAUCACUGGGCGUAAAGCGCACGUAGGCGGAUUUGUAAGUCAGGGGUGAAAUCCCGGGGCUCAACCUCGGAACUGCCUUUGAUACUGCGAGUCUUGAGUCCGAUAGAGGUGGGUGGAAUUCCUAGUGUAGAGGUGAAAUUCGUAGAUAUUAGGAAGAACACCAGUGGCGAAGGCGGCCCACUGGAUCGGUACUGACGCUGAGGUGCGAAAGCGUGGGGAGCAAACAGG